rnacentral:rRNA from 1 species
UACGGAGGGGGCUAGCGUUGUUCGGAAUUACUGGGCGUAAAGCGCACGUAGGCGGCUUUGUAAGUUAGAGGUGAAAGCCCAGGGCUUAACCCUGGAAUUGCCUUUAAGACUGCAUCGCUUGAAUCCGGGAGAGGUGAGUGGAAUUCCGAAUGUAGAGGUGAAAUUCGUAGAUAUUCGGAAGAACACCAGUGGCGAAGGCGGCUCACUGGACCGGUAUUGACGCUGAGGUGCGAAAGCGUGGGGAGCAAACAGG